rnacentral:rRNA from 1 species
GAGGAAAAGCUGUAGGUUAAUACCCUAUAGCCGUGACGUUAACUAUAGAAGAAGCACCGGCUAACUCCGUGCCAGCAGCCGCGGUAAUACGGAGGGUGCAAGCGUUAAUCGGAAUUACUGGGCGUAAAGCGCGCGUAGGCGGAUAUAUAAGUCAGAUGUGAAAUCCCUGGGCUCAACCUAGGAACUGCAUUUGAAACUGUAUAUCUAGAGUGUGGUAGAGGUGAGUGGAAUUUCAGGUGUAGCGGUGAAAUGCGUAGAGAUCUGAAGGAACAUCAGUGGCGAAGGCGACUCACUGGGCCAUUACUGACGCUGAGGUGCGAAAGCGUGGGUAGCAAACAGGAUUAGAUUCGCUGGUAGUCCACGCCCUAAACGAUGUCAACUAGGUGUG